rnacentral:tRNA from 2 species
GUUUUUAUAGUUUAAAAAAAACAUUGGUCUUGUAAACCAAAAAUAAGGUAAAUUUAAAAACU